UUUGAAAAUUUCUGAAACAAUCUGGAAUAUUCAAAUUGGAUUUUAUAUACAUUUUUAAAUAGUCCCCAACGUCUUUAAUUUUAAUUGCGUUAUAAUGAAAUUUGUUCUAACACACGUUCACGUCAUAAAACCAAAUAAAUUAUCCUUCAGCGUACUUUUAGAACUUGUAUUUAUUCAAUGGAAAUUAAAGACUGCCACAACCUAUCGAUAUUAAAUGUGCUUAAAACAGAUGGUAUGUAUUUACUCAAGAUUGAAAAGUGGCUUAUUUUAAAUUAAAAGAAACCAUACAUUUUGUGUACGUCAAUAUAAUAAAACCCGUGUCAUUGAUUAGAUACAAUUGUGCGCG